GAUGAACGCUGGCGGCGUGCUUAAUACAUGCAAGUCGAACGAAGUCAGUAGCAAUAUUGGCUGAGUGGCGAACGGGUGAGUAACGCGUUGGUGACCUGCCCCGAAGAGAGGGAUAACAGUUCGAAAGGACUGCUAAUACCCCAUGUGGUCAUUUGGAUUAGAUGCCUUAUGACUAAACGGAUUUAUUCGCUCCGGGAGGGGCCUGCGUCCCAUCAGCUAGUUGGUAGGGUAAGAGCUUACCAAGGCGAUGACGGGUAGGGGACCUGAGAGGGUGACCCCCCACAAUGGAACUGAAACACGGUCCAUACACCUACGGGAGGCAG
rnacentral:rRNA from 1 species